CUUUAUUGGAGAGUUUGAUCCUGGCUCAGGAUGAACGCUGGCGGCGUGCCUAAUACAUGCAAGUCGAGCGAAUGGAUUAAGAGCUUGCUCUUAUGAAGUUAGCGGCGGACGGGUGAGUAACACG
rnacentral:rRNA from 1 species